rnacentral:rRNA from 1 species
UCGAGCGGAUGACAGGAGCUGCUCCCUUGAUUCAGCGGCGGACGGGUGAGUAAUACCUAGGAAUCUGCCUGGUAGUGGGGGACAACGUUUCGAAAGGAACGCUAAUACCGCAUACGUCCUACGGGAGAAAGCAGGGGACCUUCGGGCCUUGCGCUAUCAGAUGAGCCUAGGUCGGAUUAGCUAGUUGGUGGGGUAAUGGCUCACCAAGGCGACGAUCCGUAACUGGUCUGAGAGGAUGAUCAGUCACACUGGAACUGAGACACGGUCCAGACUCCUACGGGAGGCAGCAGUGGGGAAUAUUGGACAAUGGGCGAAAGCCUGAUCCAGCCAUGCCGCGUGUGUGAAGAAGGUCUUCGGAUUGUAAAGCACUUUAAGUUGGGAGGAAGGGCAGUAAGUUAAUACCUUGCUGUUUUGACGUUACCGACAGAAUAAGCACCGGCUAACUCUGUG